rnacentral:rRNA from 1 species
UACGUAGGGGGCAAGCGUUGUCCGGAUUUAUUGGGCGUAAAGAGCGUGUAGGCGGCUAGGUAGGUCCGUUGUUAAAACUCGAGGCUCAACCUCGAGACGCCGGUGGAAACCAUCUAGCUAGAGUCCGGAAGAGGAGAGUGGAAUUCCCGGUGUAGCGGUGAAAUGCGCAGAUAUCAGGAAGAACACCUAUGGCGAAGGCAGCUCUCUGGGACGGUACUGACGCUGAGACGCGAAAGCGUGGGGAGCGAACAGG